CCUACGGAGGCUGCAGUGGGGAAUAUUGGACAAUGGGCGAAAGCCUGAUCCAGCCAUGCCGCGUGUGUGAAGAAGGCCUUCGGGUUGUAAAGCACUUUCAGUGGGGAAGAAAGCCUUGGGGCUAAUACCCUCGAGGAAGGACAUCACCCACAGAAGAAGCACCGGCUAACUCCGUGCCAGCAGCCGCGGUAAUACGGAGGGUGCGAGCGUUAAUCGGAAUUACUGGGCGUAAAGCGCGCGUAGGCGGUCUGAUAAGCCGGUUGUGAAAGCCCCGGGCUCAACCUGGGAACGGCAUCCGGAACUGUCAGGCUAGAGGGCAGGAGAGGAAGGUAGAAUUCCCGGUGUAGCGGUGAAAUGCGUAGAGAUCGGGAGGAAUACCAGUGGCGAAGGCGGCCUUCUGGACUGACACUGACGCUGAGGUGCGAAAGCGUGGGUAGCAAACAGGAUUAGAUACCCGAGUAGUC
rnacentral:rRNA from 1 species